rnacentral:rRNA from 1 species
AUCUCUUCGGAGCAUUUUACGAGGUGCUGCAUGGUUGUCGUCAGCUCGUGCCGUGAGGUGUCGGGUUAAGUCCCAUAACGAGCGCAACCCCUACCUUUAGUUGCCAUCAGGUUAAGCUGGGGACUCUAAAGGAACUGCCUACGCAAGUAGUGAGGAAGGCGGGGAUGGCGUCAAAUCAGCACGGCCCUUACGUCCAGGGCUACACACGUGCUACAAUGGCCGAUACAGAGGGCAGCUACCUGGUGACAGGGAUGCAAAUCUUCAAAGUCGGUCUCAGUUCGGAUCGGAGUCUGCAACCCGACUCCGUGAAGUUGGAUUCGCUAGUAAUCGCGCAUCAGCCAUGGCGCGGUGAAUACGUUCCCGGGCCUU